GAUGAAGAACGUAGCGAAAUGCGAUACUUGGUGUGAAUUGCAGAAUCCCGUGAACCAUCGAGUCUUUGAACGCAAGUUGCGCCCGAGGCCUCCUGGUCGAGGGCACGUCUGCCUGGGUGUCACGCAUCGUCGCCCCCGCUCCCCUCGGCUCACGAGGGCGGGGGCGGAUACUGGUCUCCCGCGCGCUCCCGCUCGCGGCUGGCCCAAAAUCGAGUCCCCGGCGACGGUCGCCACGACGAGCGGUGGUUGAGAGACCCUCGGACACUGUCGUGCGCGCGCCCGUCGCCCCCGGGAUCUCCUGGACCCUCGGGCAUCGACCUUUCUAGGAUGCUCUCGUUGCGACCCAAGGUCAGGCGGGACUACCCGCUGAGUUUAAGCAUAUCAAUAAGCGGAGGA
rnacentral:misc_RNA from 1 species